CCCUAGUAACGGCGAGUGAAGCGGCAACAGCUCAAAUUUGAAAUCUGGCCUCGGCCCGAGUUGUAAUUUGCAGAGGAUGCUUUUGGUGCGGUGCCUUCCGAGUUCCCUGGAACGGGACGCCACAGAGGGUGAGAGCCCCGUAUGGUCGGACACCAAUCCUGUGUAAAGCUCCUUCGACGAGUCGAGUAGUUUGGGAAUGCUGCUCUAAAUGGGAGGUAAAUCUCUUCUAAAGCUAAAUACCGGCCAGAGACCGAUAGCGCACAAGUAGAGUGAUCGAAAGAUGAAAAGCACCUUGAAAAGGGGGUUAAACAGUACGUGAAAUUGUUGAAAGGGAAGCACUUGUGACCAGACUUGGGCCGGGCGGCUCAUCAGGGGUUCUCCCCUGUGCAUUCCGCCCGGUACAGGCCAGCAUCGGUUCUUACCGGGGGAUAAGAACGGCAGGAACGUGGCUCCCUCUCGGGGGAGUGUUAUAGCCUGCCGUACGAUACCCUGGCGGGGACCGAGGUUCGCGCUUCCGCAAGGAUGCUGGCGUAAUGGUUACUAGUGACCCGUCUUGAAACACGGACCAAGGAGUCGUCCAUUAGAGCGAGCGUUUGGGUGUAAAACCCGCACGCGUAAUGAAAGUGAAAUUAGGUGAGAGCUUCGGCGCAUCAUCGACCGAUCCUGAUGUUCUCGGAUGGAUUUGAGUAAGAGUUUUAACGGACGGACCCGAAAGACAGUGAACUAUGCUUGUAUAGGGUGAAGCCAGAGGAAACUCUGGUGGAGGCUCGCAGCGGUUCUGACGUGCAAAUCGAUCGUCAAAUAUGAGCAUGGGGGCGAAAGACUAAUCGAACUGUCUAGUAGCU
rnacentral:rRNA from 1 species